ACAAAGGCUCUUUUCAGAGCCACCCAUAACUUCUGUGGAAGAACUG
rfam:TPA: Bos taurus chromosome 23, whole genome shotgun sequence.